GAAGGUCCUUAUCGGGUAGUACGAGUCAUCAGGCCUGUAGCAGUCCGUCUGGAGACCGAAAUGGCGUUCCUGUGAGCAACUCCUGGAAUAUCGAGCAUCUUCGCAAGUUCUAUCCAUAAGGCACGGUUGCCAGCCCCCCCGGCAAUCACCUUUUGUACAAGUCUUCCGGCAAGGCAUGUAAUCCUUUGCACAAAGCCAGACACAGACUCUGUGCGUAGUUGAAUAAAGUUUAGC
rnacentral:lncRNA from 1 species